GACGAACGCUGGCGGCGUGCUUAACACAUGCAAGUCGAACGAAGUGGCGAACGGGUGAGUAAUACGUGAGUAACCUGCCCUCCUUUUUGGGAUAAGCCGUGGAAACGGGGUCUAAUACCGAAUAAAGGGGGAUGGGCUCGCGGCCUAUCAGCUUGUUGGUGGGGUGAUGGCCUACCAAGGCGGUGACGGGUCGCCGGCCUGAGAGGGGGACCGGCCACAGUGGGACUGAGAUACGGCCCAGACGCCUACGGGGGGCAGAAGUGGGGGAUAUGGAACAAUGGGCGAAAGCCUGAUGCAGCGACGCCGAGGAGGGGAUGAAGGCUUUCGGGUUGUAAACCUCUUUAGCUAUCGAACGGGUAGGUAGAGAAGAAGCGCCGGCUAACUACGUGCCAGCAGCCGCGGUAAUAC
rnacentral:rRNA from 1 species